UUUCAGCAUCAGGAGUUUCCUGCCAUCGUGCAGGAAUGCCAACCGGGCCCCAGGCUAACGGUGGAGCAGUAUGCGGGUCUUGCGAAGGUGACCAAAAGCUUGAACAACA
rnacentral:ncRNA from 10 species